rnacentral:tRNA from 1 species
GUCAGUUCGUGAAAGGUGCUUGCACAUCAUUCGUAAUGAUGGGGUCACGUGUUCGAGUCACGUAAGCGGCACCA